rnacentral:tRNA from 3 species
GGGCAAGUGGCGGAACUGGUAUACGCUUACGCUUCAGGAGCGUAUGGGAGCAAUCCCAUGAGGGUUCAAGUCCCUCCUUGCCCA